ACACUGAACAGUGUCUGGACUGCAGGACAGAUUCAGACUUCUUCGUUGUUUCUACAAUUUGGACUUGAAAACGGCAUUGUUAAAUCUUGGACUCCCAUGAAAGUUGUAGGCCUAUGUCUUAGCUUUCCAUCCAUAUAAGGCAGACCUAAAUCAGAGAUCUACAGCUCCAAAUAUGACCCGAUUACCAAACAGUGUUCCAGUUUGGACUGCACCAAUCAUCUCUUUUCUAAGUUUGGCCAUCUCUUUGUCCUUUCAAUUUUAGUACUUCAAGUCAUCAAUCAAUUCUUUCAUUUAUGUGAUAGGUCUGCAUUUAAGAUGAACAUU
rnacentral:lncRNA from 1 species